rnacentral:tRNA from 1 species
CGGGCCGUGGCGCAGGGGUAGCGCACACGUCUGGGGGGCGUGUGGUCGCUGGUUCAAAUCCAGUCGGCCCGA